rnacentral:rRNA from 1 species
AGUGAACGCUGGCGGUAGGCCUAACACAUGCAAGUCGAACGGCAGCACAGUAAGAGCUUGCUCUUACGGGUGGCGAGUGGCGGACGGGUGAGGAAUACAUCGGAAUCUACUUUUUCGUGGGGGAUAACGUAGGGAAACUUACGCAAAUACCGCAUACGACCUACGGGUGAAAGCAGGGGAUCUUCGGACCUUGCGCGAUUGAAUGAGCCGAUGUCGGAUUAGCUAGUUGGCGGGGUAAAGGCCCACCAAGGCGACGAUCCGUAGCUGGUCUGAGAGGAUGAUCAGCCACACUGGAACUGAGACACGGUCCAGACUCCUACGGGAGGCAGCAGUGGGGAAUAUUGGACAAUGGGCGCAAGCCUGAUCCAGCCAUACCGCGUGGGUGAAGAAGGCCUUCGGGUUGUAAAGCCCUUUUGUUGGGAAAGAAAAGCAGCAGGUUAAUACCCCGCUGUUCUGACGGUACCCAAAGAAUAAGCACCGGCUAACUUCGUGC